GACGAACGCUGGCGGCGUGCUUAACACGUGCAAGUCGAACGAUGAACCCGGAGCUUGCUCCGGCGGAUUAGUGGCGAACGGGUGAGUAACACGUGAGUAACCUGCCCUUGACUCUGGGAUAACUGCUAGAAAUGGUAGCUAAUACCGGAUACGACCCUCGGUGGCAUCACCAGGGGGUGGAAAGAAUUUCGGUCAAGGAUGGACUCGCGGCCUAUCAGCUAGUUGGUGAGGUAACGGCUCACCAAGGCGACGACGGGUAGCCGGCCUGAGGGGGUGACCGGCCACACUGGGACUGAGACACGGCCCAGACUCCUACGGGAGGCAGCAGUGGGGAAUAUUGCACAAUGGGCGCAAGCCUGAUGCAGCAACGCCGCGUGAGGGAUGACGGCCUUCGGGUUGUAAACCUCUUUUAGUAGGGAAGAAGCGAAAGUGACGGUACCUGCAGAAAAAGCACCGGCUAACUACGUGCCAGCAGCCGCGGUAA
rnacentral:rRNA from 1 species